GACGAACGCUGGCGGCGUGCUUAACACAUGCAAGUCGAGCGGAAAGGCCACUUCGGUGGUACUCGAGCGGCGAACGGGUGAGUAACACGUGAGUAAUCUGCCCCUGGCUUUGGGAUAGCCACCGGAAACGGGGAUUAAUACCGGAUACGACCACUUCUCGCAUGGGAUGGUGGUGGAAAGUUUUUUCGGCCAGGGAUGUGCUCGCGGCCUAUCAGCUUGAUGGUGAGGUAAUGGCUCACCAUGGCUUCGACGGGUAGCCGGCCUGAGAGGGUGACCGGUCACACUGGGACUGAGACACGGCCCAGACUCCUACGGGAGGCAGCAGUGGGGAAUAUUGGACAAUGGGCGGAAGCCUGAUCCAGCAACGCCGCGUGAGGGAUGACGGCCUUCGGGUUGUAAACCUCUUUCAGUACCGACGAAGCGCAAGUGACGGUAGGUACAGAAGAAGCACCGGCCAACUACGUGCCAGCAGCCGCCGUAAAAC
rnacentral:rRNA from 1 species